rnacentral:lncRNA from 1 species
AUUAGCAUUUCUAGCAACAAUGUAUUUUUAAAUUAAGAUAUUUGAUGUGAUUCACCAGUACAGCCAUAUGAAGAUGAUAUUUUGAUUUUAGGAAUGUUUCAUUACAAAUGCAAUUCCUUCAACAGAGGCUUUUUCACUCCUCAGAAGAAAAAGUGGACACUAUAUGCCCCAAUGCAGCCGCAUUCCUGCUGGUCCCCAAAAGUAUAGUCACAAAAUUAAACAGGGCCUUCGAAGGACAAAUGGCCCAUGCUUCUCUGCUGGGAACAGGAGAACCGUGUUAUGUGGAAGAACCUCAGUGAACUGGCGAGACAGUGGCCAUUCUAUAAGGAGGUGACUAAGGCCCUGGGGCCUGUAGCAAGGAAGAGCUAAAUAUGGAAGCACUAGGGAGGAACAGAGAGGACCCCAUGAUUAGCCUCAGGGAAGACUGAGGCCGAAUGACUUAACUAGUACCAACUCCCAGUGAUUUCAGUGUCUGCCUACUCUAAAUCCCACUAGGAAUAUCAUCAUAAAGCAUGUGAUGACAACUGGGACAAGGCACACUAGAAAGACAAGCUCUGCCUUAUUGAAAGCAUGCUGAGCUUGUUUAGCAACUCAAGAUAUGUAAGCAAGUUCUAGACUCGUCUUGAGUCACCACAUCUACUGACCCAUCUCAUCAUCCUCCUUUGCAAUUUCUUCCAAGUUCAAAGAAAUGCACAAAUAUCCAGAUACUCAUCCCUCACUGAGACUCAGAAAAGGCAUAUAUUACACACAAGUAUAACAUGCCGAGACCUGGGAGCACAAACCAGGUCUCCCAUCCCUUUGCAAUUCAUUAAAUGGUAUAGGCGGGUAGUUUGCAGUAAGUAUCCUGAUUUUCUGAAAGGUGUUUCCAUGCUUAAAUUUCAAACCAAAAGUUUAAGAAAAAUCCAGCGACUGUGAUAACAGGGACACUUUCCUUUGGUCAAUAGAACAGGCAAUUAUAAAGGAACUAAAAGUAAUAAUUUACAUUCAUCAUGAGCUUCAUCUUUUCUUAACAUUUUAAUAUACUUUGGUUAGGAUAGGGUGAGUAUCAGUCCUGUUUUACAGAUGCACGGACUGAGUGAGGAUGAGAGGUGCUAGCUGAGUGGCCCACAUCAAUGUGACAAUGAUCCAAAGACCAUACCCCUUCCAUCUUUUUCUGAGGAAAAAAUUCAAAAUCUUUCAAAAUUCCACCUUUCCAUUUUGAUUCUUACCUAACUUUGUUUACUACACUGGGCUGCAUAAGUUCUUGAAGUUAAAUAAGUCAUUGUGGUUUGAUGGGAUAUCUUGCAAAGAGAAAUUUAUUGAUGAGUUCUUGGAGAAGUUUGAGUAUUUUGGGCCUUGAUUCUGAAUGUUUUCAUUUGUGUUCAAGGACUUGUCAUCUAUUUUCUUCUAACUGAAAAAUAAAUCAUUUCUAGGUUUCCCAUAUGGAAAUGUUUACCAUGACAUUGAUGUCAUUGGCCUGGGAUAACACCAGGAGGCUAGGGGGCUGGGGAUGGUGGGGAAUCAGGUUAGUCAUUCUGGGAGAAGCCCUCGCUGAAGAAAGACUCCUUUCUAAGCCCAAUAUGUUCCAAGCUUGACAUUUUCAGGAAUCUUGUCAACUUGGGAUCAACACAGAAAUGCCAGUACUCAAGGCACACCUUGUUAAGCAUGUAAAUGGAGACAUUCCUUUCCAUCCUACCCUCAUCCUGAGUCUUUGUUCUAGUUUGCUCUGAACUUUCUCCUCUUCCCUAAAAUGGAGGCUGUCCCAGGGUGACUGUUCCCAUUCUCCUAAAGUCCUGGUUGGGGACACUGAUGAUACAUUAGACAGCUCUAUUUAAAAUAAAAAAAAAAAACUAAUAAUAAUCAGGAUACCACUAGUCUAGAACUCAGUGUCUCAUUUGCCUGUGGAAGUGCCGAUGUACUUCAAGAACAAAUAAUUGAAGGACAUUAUGUCAUCUUUUUUGAGAGUGAAAUGUGGAUUUCUCAUAGAAAGUCGAAUAUUUUAACUUAAAAACUUAAAACGUCAAUAGUGUUUUCUUUUUCUAAAUUUUUAAAAAUGUAAUAUGGUUAAAAUUAGAUUGAAAAAGAAGUCCAUGACUGUUUUAUGGGCCAGGGCUUCUAUUUUAGAUCAAACAAUUUUAAUAUACUUGCCUUUAAUAUAAGUUUGAAGUAUGCAACAAAGUAUGCACUAACACAGUGGCUUCAAAAACACUGUCUUGCCCACAUCAGAAUUCAUUUGUAGCUGUCAAACAUGAAUUUGGAGCCUGCUGACAAGCAUUUGUAAAUGCUUGUAAAGAAGUGAUGAUUUUUUUAAUCUGGAAACUGACUACUUAAGCUUUCUGUCUUAGAGAUAUAGUCUUUCUCAUGGUUAAUCUUAACAUAAUUAAAAAGAGAAUGUCUUAGCUAAAGAGUGUUAGGUCUCCUCCUUGCCCCUUAGAGCAAUGGCAUUCUGACAUUAAAUUCUCUCUAUUGCACUCAGUAAAGGCAUUCUACCUACUGAAUUAAUGCAAGCAUUUUAGUAUGUGCUUGAAUAUCUGAACAUUAUUCCUAACUGAAAGAUGAUGAAUUGUAAGGGAGAUUAAAAGGGCACAGGAGAUAGUAUCAGUGGCUAUUGAAAGGCCUAGUCACUCUUCCUGAAUCCCAUGCAUCUAUCCAUCCAUCCAUCCAUCCAUCCAUCCAUCCAUCCAUCCAUCCAUCCAUCCACCCAUCCAUGUAUCCAUCCAAUAUGGAGCAUCAACUGAGAUACUCAGCACUGCUACAUUUCCAGGGAUACUGAGAUGAAUCCUGGUUUUUCAGAACAUAAACUCUGGCCCAGGACUAGGCCAGAUUCUUAUUUCUACAUGUUCACCUGGCCACCCUUCCUGCUUCUAUGUGGAAUUUGCAUUGGAUGGACCAUGCUUCCUAUUCUUGUGACCUACUUGCUCAUUUGAGACUUAUUAACCUCUGUCUUGAUUAUUACAUACUCUCUGACACAUAUUUUAGUGCAGGAUCUUAGGGGAAGGGAAGUACAUAGAACAAACCUGAUUAACAGGUGGUACAAUUUGAGAAGGAUUUUCAAAUUUGAUCUUUCAUCUGAUGCUACCACAGUCCCUGAAGUCCCACAAGUAAAAAUGAACUUUUUUCCACCUUGUAGGUUUUGGUUUUUAAGGGUUUUCUAUUAAGAUGUAAAAACCACAGAAAAAGCUUUUAUCUUCUACCUGUUUAUAGAAAACUUCAUUAUGAAUGAUGCUAUAGCUAAGAAAGGAGGAGGUUAAAAAGAAUGGCUGUUGAAUGCCAAAGGCCCAUUUUUGCCUUAAAUUUCCAGUGUUCUCUAAGGUUGGCUGCAGAUGUAAGGAGAGAUUGGAGGCCUGCCAGAAAGCCUAGGACAUGGGCAGAAAUUGGUGGCUCAUUGUCACAUAAUCUCAAGUAGAAAAUUAUCAGAUACAUGGUAGAAACUGUUAUUUGAGAAUAAGGAAAUCUUUGCAAUGUAGGAUUUUUGAAGUAGAAGGGAAAAUAGGAGUGUGCUAGCCCAGUUAUUAUAGGUGAGAAGAGGUGGUUAACGAUUUGGCUAACGUCAGUGGUCAAUGUGGGAGCUGGCUGCCCCUCCUCAUAAUCUAAUGUUGCACAUCGCUCCAGGUCAGUGCCUCUGCAGGAUGUAAAGCACCUGAAGUAGAAGUCUUCAGGCUGGGAUUCCUUUAACUUGUGGUACAUGAUGCCUUUUCAAGGAGUACAAGAUAGUAUGGGAAGGACAGCUUUAAGGGAAUACAUUCCCAGAUCUUGAAUUUCCAUAUCUAUUAUUCUGAUGAGUCUUUUUCAUUUUUGACAAUCAUUUAUCAAAACAGAUGUUUUUGUUACUCAUGUUGAUUUGUUGAACUGUACACUAGGAAUAAUUGUAAUGGUAACAGUAUAAAAGAAAUGUUGAACACCUUAGAGUCUUAUGGCCACAGAAAAAAAUUAAGUUCUAAUUUAAAAACAUGUUCUGUUGGAAAGAAAUAUGAGUAAAAUGAAUUUUAAGUAUAAAAUAUAUUAUAGUAGGAUAAAAUUCUGUGGAGAAAGUAGAAUGGAAAUAUAAGUUCAAGGAGAAAAGAAAGUGAUGUCAAAUUUCCAAUUAUAAAAAAAAGCCUGUUCACAUAUUUAAAAAAUGAAUAACUAGGUAUUGCAUUGCUAAGGUAGUUAGCAAAGAGCCUUUGGGUUAGUUUCAAACAAUAAUGUAAAAGUUUUAUUUUCAAACACCAAAAUGUAUGAUAUAGUGGAAAUUACAUUAUUUGAUACCAUUUAAACUGAUUAUGAAAAACUUUUUAAACACAUGCAAAAGGCUACAUAGCUUUGACAAGUUGUUUAGGGGUUCAAAUGAAAGAGACAUGGAAGGCCCACUGUUUUAGUACUUGACUUGGAAUGGGCCAUAGUGAAGGUGGACCUGAGAGGGACCAAGGUUUGCAAACUCAAAUGUCCUAGUGGCCAAGGAGGUUUGCAUAAACCAGUGACAUGGGCCUAGUAGGCACUAGACAGUGGAAGAGCUCAUGUCCAAAGGGGCUGCUAUUACUCAGUUCCAAGCAAGCAGCGCUGUGCUCGACUUCAAAGACUCUGUUGCUAGAUUUUUCUAGAAAUUCUAUAUUUUUAGAAAAUAGCUCUGUAUUUUUCAUAUUGGCUCAAAAAAUGUUAAGAUGUUAUAUGGAUCAAACAAAGCACUUUGUUGGGCUGAAUCUGGCCUUAUGGGUCAGUUAUAACUGCUGUAGACAAAAUGGCAUGUAGACUGACCUUUAUUUGACCAUAUUCUAGGAGGGAAAGUGUCCAGUGGCUGAUACAUGAUUACUACAUUACUUUUUCUAAAAAUAUAGGGAACCAAGUAUUAGAGAUUGUUAUUUUGGUCUUUUAAAGUAUUUAUUUCCUAGUGAGUUCAGGGAACUCUACAAAUCUAUAAGUAAGGAAGACAUUCCUUACAUUCUAGAACCAAAUGCACUUCAUAGUUACAUAAAUAUAAGAUGUAAUGUAAUAUAGAUCUAAUUUAAUUAUGUUCCAAGAAUUCACUUUAUGUUUCCGGUGUCAUAACUUCAACAACUGAUGACACUGUAGCACUGAGGACAUAAU